rnacentral:rRNA from 1 species
AUGAACGCUGGCGGCGCGCCUAACACAUGCAAGUCGAACGGCACCCCUCUCCGGAGGGAAGCGAGUGGCGAACGGCUGAGUAACACGUGGAGAACCUGCCCCCUCCCCCGGGAUAGCCGCCCGAAAGGACGGGUAAUACCGGAUACCCCCGGGCGCCGCAUGGCGCCCGGGCUAAAGCCCCGACGGGAGGGGAUGGCUCCGCGGCCCAUCAGGUAGACGGCGGGGUGACGGCCCACCGUGCCGACAACGGGUAGCCGGGUUGAGAGACCGACCGGCCAGAUUGGGACUGAGACACGGCCCAGACUCCUACGGGAGGCAGCAGUGGGGAAUCUUGCGCAAUGGGGGGAACCCUGACGCAGCGACGCCGCGUGCGGGACGGAGGCCUUCGGGUCGUAAACCGCUUUCAGCAGGGAAGAGUCAAGACUGUACCUGCAGAAGAAGCCCCGGCUAACUACGUGCCAGCAGCCGCGGUAAUACGUAGGGGGCGAGCGUUAUCCGGAUUCAUUGGGCGUAAAGCGCGCGUAGGCGGCCCGGCAGGCCGGGGGUCGAAGCGGGGGGCUCAACCCCCCGAAGCCCCCGGAACCUCCGCGGCUUGGGUCCGGUAGGGGAGGGUGGAACACCCGGUGUAGCGGUGGAAUGCGCAGAUAUCGGGUGGAACACCGGUGGCGAAGGCGGCCCUCUGGGCCGAGACCGACGCUGAGGCGCGAAAGCUGGGGGAGCGAACAGGAUUAGAUACCCUGGUAGUCCGCACGGUAAACGAUGGAUACUCGCUGUUGGCGAUAGACAGUCAGCGGCCAAGCGAAAGCGUUAAGUAUCCCACCUGGGGAGUACGCCGGCAACGGUGAAACUCAAAGGAAUUGACGGGGGCCCGCACAAGCAGUGGAGUAUGUGGUUUAAUUCGACGCAACGCGAAGAACCUUACCAGGUCUUGACAUUGAUGGACAGAACUAGAGAUAGUUCCUCUUCUUCGGAAGCCAGAAAACAGGUGGUGCACGGUUGUCGUCAGCUCGUGUCGUGAGAUGUUGGGUUAAGUCCCGCAACGAGCGCAACCCUUAUUGCCAGUUACUACGUUAAGAGGACUCUGGCGAGACUGCCGUUGACAAAACGGAGGAAGGUGGGGAUGACGUCAAAUCAUCAUGCCCUUUAUGACUUGGGCUACACACGUACUACAAUGGCGUUAAACAAAGAGAAGCAAGACCGCGAGGUGGAGCAAAACUCAGAAACAACGUCCCAGUUCGGACUGCAGGCUGCAACUCGCCUGCACGAAGUCGGAAUUGCUAGUAAUCGCGGAUCAGCAUGCCGCGGUGAAUACGUUCCCGGGCCUUGUACACACCGCCCGUCACACCACCCGAGUCGUCUGCACCCGAAGUCGCCGGCCCAACCGUCAAGGGGGGAGGCGCCGAAGGUGUGGAGGGUGAGGGGGGUG